GCUGAAAUGAGCAGCUGAGAAUCUCUGGAUAAAAAGAUGUCUGGGACCAGAAGUCCCUGAACAUUGUAUGGACAUCCAGAAGAGUGUUCUGGCUUGAUUCAGAAUAUGUGGCCCAGGCACAUAGGCCCAGAGCAACAAUAAAAGGUAAGA
rnacentral:lncRNA from 11 species